ensembl:lncRNA
UAUCAGUCUGUACCAAGCCUGUACGUGUCUUUAUUAGAGGGAAAAUGACAAAGUAACAAUUUCUGGUUCUUAAUGCAGCAGUUGGUCUCCAGUUGAAUUAGUGAUGUUUGCAGAAGAGUACACUAUGGCGACUGCAGCCUCAGAUGAUCUGUAUCCUCUGAAGCGCUCAAGUAGCUAUGAGUGGCUGCCACCUAACAGUGAGUAUCUGAGUUUACAAUAUUUCGUAUGUAAAAUCUGUAAGUAAGCAACUAAACCCCUAAAGAUAAACAGCAAUGAAACUAUAAAUGAAUACAUGCAAGUCUGCAU